ensembl:processed_transcript Gm20033 predicted gene, 20033
GAGACUGCCUGCUGACAGAGACCCCUGAGCUUAGAAGAAGCUGAGUCUCUUUGUGUCUUAUCUAGGUUGUAAAGAAUACCCCCCACAAACAAUGCAGGCUCUUCCGCAGUUCCGGGGACUAUUGAAGUCUGAAGGCAUACCCUUGGCAACUGGACAGUGUAACCCCGUAUACCGCUUCUAAAGGAAGAGUAAUGAAGAAGAGGAGUGUUCCAAAGGGGAUGAGGAACCAUCUGUUGUUAAGGAAGAGACACGACCUUCGCAGUCUGUUGAGCCGAGUUUGGAUCCCAGCACUGCCUCCUACUAAAGUGGAUGCCAUGGUUAUUGGGGUGUUCAGAGACAGAAUGUGUAUAGAAGAACACU